rnacentral:rRNA from 1 species
CCUACGGGAGGCAGCAGUGGGGAAUCUUGCGCAAUGGGCGAAAGCCUGACGCAGCCAUGCCGCGUGAAUGAUGAAGGUCUUAGGAUUGUAAAAUUCUUUCACCGGGGACGAUAAUGACGGUACCCGGAGAAGAAGCCCCGGCUAACUUCGUGCCAGCAGCCGCGGUAAUACGAAGGGGGCUAGCGUUGCUCGGAAUUACUGGGCGUAAAGGGAGCGUAGGCGGAUAGUUUAGUCAGAGGUGAAAGCCCAGGGCUCAACCUUGGAAUUGCCUUUGAUACUGGCUAUCUUGAGUAUGGGAGAGGUAUGCGGAACUCCGAGUGUAGAGGUGAAAUUCGUAGAUAUUCGGAAGAACACCAGUGGCGAAGGCGGCAUACUGGCCCAUUACUGACGCUGAGGCUCGAAAGCGUGGGGAGCAAACAGGAUUAGAUACCCUGGUAGUCCACGCUGUAAACGAUGAGUGCUAGUUGUCGGCAUGCAUGCAUGUCGGUGACGCGAGCUACGCAUA